GACGAACGCUGGCGGCGUGCUUAACACAUGCAAGUCGAACGGAAAGGCCCUGCUUUUGUGGGGUUCUCGUUUGGCGAACGGGUGAGUAACACGUGAGUAACCUGCCCUUGACUUUGGGAUAACUUCAGGAAACUGGGGCUAAUACCGGAUAGGAGCUCCUGCUGCAUGUUGGUGGUUGGAAAAUUUCGGCGGUUGGGGCUGGACUCGCUGCUUAUCAGCUUGUUGGGUGGGUAGUGGCUUACCAAGGCUUUGACGGGUAGCCGGCCUGAGAGGGUUACCGGCCACCUUGGUCCUGAGAUACGGCGCAGAAUGCAAUGGGAGGCAGUAGUGGAGAAUAUUGCACAAUGGGCGGAAGUGUGAUGCAGCAACGUCGCGUGCGGGAUGCCGGCCUUCGGGGUGUAAACAGAUUUGGACUGUGACGAAGCGUGAGUGACGGUAAUGGGUAAAGAAGCCCCGGCUAACUACGUG
rnacentral:rRNA from 1 species